rnacentral:rRNA from 1 species
CCCCCAGACUCCUACGGGAGGCAGCAGUGAGGAAUAUUGGUCAAUGGGCGAGAGCCUGAACCAGCCAAGUCGCGUGAGGGAAGACGGUCCUAUGGAUUGUAAACCUCUUUUGCCGGGGAGCAAAAAGCGGUACGUGUACCGCAUCGAGAGUACCCGGAGAAAAAGCAUCGGCUAACUCCGUGCCAGCAGCCGCGGUAAUACGGAGGAUGCGAGCGUUAUCCGGAUUUAUUGGGUUUAAAGGGUGCGCAGGCGGCCUGUUAAGUCAGCGGUAAAAGCCCGGGGCUCAACCCCGGUCCGCCGUUGAAACUGGCAGUCUCGAGUUGGAGAGAAGUAUGCGGAAUGCGCGGUGUAGCGGUGAAAUGCAUAGAUAUCGCGCAGAACUCCGAUUGCGAAGGCAGCAUGCCGGCUCCACACUGACGCUGAGGCACGAAAGCGUGGGUAUCGAACAGGAUUAGAUACCCCAGUA